AACGAACGCUGGCGGCAGGCUUAACACAUGCAAGUCGAGCGCCCCGCAAGGGGAGCGGCAGACGGGUGAGUAACGCGUGGGAAUCUACCCAUCUCUACGGAAUAACGCAUGGAAACGUGUGCUAAUACCGUAUACGUCCUUCGGGAGAAAGAUUUAUCGGAGAUGGAUGAGCCCGCGUUGGAUUAGCUAGUUGGUGGGGUAAAGGCCUACCAAGGCGACGAUCCAUAGCUGGUCUGAGAGGAUGAUCAGCCACACUGGGACUGAGACACGGCCCAGACUCCUACGGGAGGCAGCAGUGGGGAAUAUUGGACAAUGGGCGCAAGCCUGAGCCAGCCAUGCCGCGUGGGUGAUGAAGGCCCUAGGGUUGUAAAGCUCUUUCACCGGUGGAGAUAAUGACGGUAACCGGAGAAGAAGCCCCGGCUAACUUCGUGCCAGCAGCCGCCGUAACAC
rnacentral:rRNA from 1 species